UAGCCGUAGGUGAACCUGCGGCUGGAUCAUUAUCGAGCACACCAAAACACUCUCGCCUGCGGGCUUGAGGUAACCGUGGCGGCCUAAUAUGCGGUCCGUUUGCUUGACGGAUGUCUGCAUGCCACACUGACCAAACGGCUUCGGCUUGCGUCUACGUCAGGUUGAGGGGUUGUCGCCUUUGCCGUGGCCCUAGUCGACCUGAUGAUAGCGCAUACGUCCUGCUAGUUCGGGGUAGCGGAUGCGUAGACUUAAUGAGGACCCGCCAAGCGGUCCCGCGAGCCAACCCAUUUUUUUAACGAUUUUUUAAAGCCUUCGGGCUAAAGACUAUACCAGUCUUACCGGUGGAUCACUCGGUUCGU
rnacentral:misc_RNA from 1 species